AUUGAACGCUGGCGGCAUGCCUUACACAUGCAAGUCGAACGGCAGCACGGACUUCGGUCUGGUGGCGAGUGGCGAACGGGUGAGUAAUGUAUCGGAACGUGCCCAGUCGUGGGGGAUAACGUAGUGAAAAUUACGCUAAUACCGCAUACGAUCUAUGGAUGAAAGCGGGGGAUCGCAAGACCUCGCGCGAUUGGAGCGGCCGAUAUCAGAUUAGGUAGUUGGUGGGGUAAAGGCCCACCAAGCCAACGAUCUGUAGCUGGUCUGAGAGGACGGCCAGCGACACUGGAACUGAGAAGCGCUCCAGACUCCUACGGGAGGCAGCAGUGGGGAAUUUUGGACGAUGGGCGGAAGCCUGAUCCAGCCAUUCCGCGUGCAGGAUGAAGGCCCUCGGGUUGUAAACUGCUUUUGUACAGAACGAAAAGGUUUCUACUAAUACUAGGAGCUCAUGACGGUACUGUAAGAAUAAGCACCGGCUAACUACGUGCCAGCCGCCGCCGUAA
rnacentral:rRNA from 1 species